rnacentral:rRNA from 1 species
GGCUUAUGCCUGCACCAUCGACCGACCAUGAUCUUCUGUGAAAGGUUUGAGUACGAGCAUACCUGUUGGGACCCGAAAGAUGGUGAACUAUGCCUGAGCAGGGCGAAGCCAGAGGAAACUCUGGUGGAGGCUCGUAGAUGUGCUGACGUGCAAAUCGCUUUUCGGACUUGGGUAUAGGGGCGAAAGACUACUAGUAGCUGGUUCCCUCCGAAGUUUCCCCCAGGAUAGCUGGAGCUUGAUCAGUUUUAUCGGGUAAAGCGAAUGAUUAGAGGUACCGGGGAUGAAACAUCCUCGACCUAUUCUCAAACUUUAAAUAGGUAAGACGUCUGGGUUGCUUAAUUGAACCCAGGCAUUCAAUGAGAGCUCCAAGUGGGCCA